CAGACUCCUACGGGAGGCAGCAGUGGGGAAUAUUGCACAAUGGGCGAAAGCCUGAUGCAGCGACGCCGCGUGAGGGAUGACGGCCUUCGGGUUGUAAACCUCUUUCAGCAGGGAAGAAGCGAAAGUGACGGUACCUGCAGAAGAAGCACCGGCUAACUACGUGCCAGCAGCCGCGGUAAUACGUAGGUGGCAAGCGUUGUCCGGAAUUAUUGGGCGUAAAGAGCUCGUAGGCGGUCUGUCGCGUCGGUCGUGAAAACUUGGGGCUUAACCCUGAGCUUGCGGUCGAUACGGGCAUGACUGGAGUUCGGCAGGGGAGACUGGAAUUCCUGGUGUAGCGGUGAAAUGCGCAGAUAUCAGGAGGAACACCGGUGGCGAAGGCGGGUCUCUGGGCCGAUACUGACGCUGAGGAGCGAAAGCGUGGGGAGCGAACAGGAUUAGAUACCCUGGUAGUCCACGCUGUAAACGAUGAUAACUCGCUGUUGGCGAUAUACUGUCAGCGGCCAAGCGAAAGCGUUAAGUUAUCCACCUGGGGAGUACGAUCGCAAGGUUGAAACUCAAAGGAAUUGACGGGGGCCCGCACAAGCGG
rnacentral:rRNA from 1 species